rnacentral:tRNA from 1 species
GCCCCCGUAGCUCAGCUGGAUAGAGCGGGGCUUUCCUAAAGCCCAGGUCACAGGUUCGACUCCUGUCGGGGGUA